rnacentral:tRNA from 1 species
UUAAUUGUGGCAGAAAAAGUGCCUAGGUUUUAAGCACCUAAUAUAGGUUUUAACCUCAGUUAAU